rnacentral:rRNA from 1 species
AGAGUUUGAUUAUGGCUCAGAGUGAACGUUGGCGGCGUGCCUAACACAUGCAAGUCGAACGAGAACCGAGUAGCUUGCUACUCGGGGAAAGUGGCGAACGGGUGAGUAACACGUGAGCAAUCUGCCCUCGAGUGAGGAAUAACCCCGCGAAAGCGGGGCUAAUACCGCAUGAUGCUCUGAAGCAUAAGCUUUCAGAGUUAAAGCCCUUAGGGGCGCUUGAGGAUGAGCUUGCGUCCUAUUAGCUUGUUGGUAGGGUAAUGGCCUACCAAGGUUAUGAUGGGUAGCCGGCCUGAGAGGGUGUCCGGCCACACUGGAACUGGGACACGGUCCAGACUCCUACGGGAGGCAGCAGUGAGGAAUUUUGCGCAAUGGGCGAGAGCCUGACGCAGCGACGCCGCGUGGAGGAUGAAGGCUUUCGGGUUGUAAACUCCUGUCAGAGGUGAAGAAAACCCCCUUAGGGGGGCUUAACGGUAACCUCAGAGGAAGCCCCGGCUGACUACGUGCCAGCAGCCGCGGUAAUACGGGGGGUGCAAGCGUUAUUCGGAAUUAUUGGGCGUAAAGGGCGCGCAGGCGGCCUCUUAAGUCAGAUGUGAAAGCCCGGGGCUUAACCCCGGAGGUGCAUUUCAAACUAAUAGACUUGAGAUUGGAAGAGGGAAACGGAAUUAGCAGUGUAAGGGUGAAAUCUGUAGAUAUUGCUAAGAACACCAGCGGCGAAGGCGGUUUCCUGGUCCAAUUCUGACGCUGAAUUGCGAAAGCUAGGGGAGCAAACAGAAUUAGAUACUCUGGUAGUCCUAGCUGUAAACGAUGAGUACUAGGUGUUGGUCCUUCGGGAUCGGUGUCGCAGCUAACGCAUUAAGUACUCCACCUGGGGACUACGGCCGCAAGGCUAAAACUCAAAGGAAUUGACGGGGACCCGCACAAGCGGUGGAACAUGUGGUUUAAUUCGAUGCUACGCGAAGAACCUCACCAAGGCUUGACUUGCUCGUCAUAUCUCUCUGAAAGGAGAGAGUCAUUUAGUUGGACGAUGCACAGGUGCUGCAUGGCUGUCGUCAGCUCGUGUCGUGAGAUGUUGGGUUAAGUCCCGCAACGAGCGCAACCAUUGCCCCAUGUUGCUACCAUACCUUAAACCUUCGGGUUUGGGUGUGCGCACUCUUGGGGGACUGCCCGGGAUAACCGGGAGGAAGGUGGAGAUGACGUCAAGUCAGUACGGCCCUUAUGCCUUGGGCUACACACGUGUUACAAUGGACGGUACAGAGGGUUGCCAACCCGCGAGGGGGAGCUAAUCUCAGAAAGCCGUCCUCAGUUCGGAUUGGAGUCUGCAAUUCGACUCCAUGAAGUCGGAAUCGCUAGUAAUGGGAGAUCAGCUCGCUCCCGUGAAUACGUUCCCGGGUCUUGUACACACCGCCCGUCAAGCGAUGAAAGCUAGGAGUACCCGAAGUCCUAUGUAGGUAGGCCGAAGGUAAGACUGGUGAUUGGCGCU